rnacentral:rRNA from 1 species
ACGGUAGCACAGAGGAGCUUGCUCCUUGGGUGACGAGUGGCGGACGGGUGAGUAAUGUCUGGGAACUGCCCGAUGGAGGGGGAUAACUACUGGAAACGGUAGCUAAUACCGCAUAACGUCGCAAGACCAAAGAGGGGGACCUUCGGGCCUCUUGCCAUCGGAUGUGCCCAGAUGGGAUUAGCUAGUAGGUGGGGUAACGGCUCACCUAGGCGACGAUCCCUAGCUGGUCUGAGAGGAUGACCAGCCACACUGGAACUGAGACACGGUCCAGACUCCUACGGGAGGCAGCAGUGGGGAAUAUUGCACAAUGGGCGCAAGCCUGAUGCAGCCAUGCCGCGUGUAUGAAGAAGGCCCUCGGGUUGCAAAGUACUUUCAGCGAGGAGGAAGGUGUUGUGGUUAAUAACCGCAGCAAUUGACGUUACUCGCAGAAGAAGCACCGGCUAACUCCGUGCCAGCAGCCGCGGUAAUACGGAGGGUGCAAGCGUUAAUCGGAAUUACUGGGCGUAAAGCGCACGCAGGCGGUCUGUCAAGUCGGAUGUGAAAUCCCCGGGCUCAACCUGGGAACUGCAUCCGAAACUGGCAGGCUAGAGUCUUGUAGAGGGGGGUAGAAUUCCAGGUGUAGCGGUGAAAUGCGUAGAGAUCUGGAGGAAUACCGGGUGGCGAAGCGGCCCCCUGACAAAGACUGACGCUCAGUGCGAAAGCGUGGGGAGCAACAGAUUAGAUACCCUGCUAGUCCACGCCGUAAACGAUGUCGACUUGA